rnacentral:lncRNA from 1 species
AGUACUGGGCCAGGUGUGGAUGACCUGUGAGGUGUUCACUGAAUGAGUGGUAUGGAAUUUCUGCCCUUCUCUAGAAGCUGGAGCCAAAAGAAUACAUCACAACAGCUUGCAGCCGAGGGCCACAGCUGAGAUCAAAGGCGAUAUUUUUACAGCAACUGAAAUAGAAAACCACUGGACACAUGGUGGGAGGUGAGUGGCCAGGACACAGGCCCCUUUGUGCAGCUUGUGGCCGGAGUGAGCAUCCUGCC